rnacentral:rRNA from 1 species
UGGGGAAUAUUGGACAAUGGGGGAAACCUUGAUCCAGCAAUGCCGCGUGGGUGAUGAAGGCCUUCGGGUUGUAAAGCCCUUUUGGCGGGGACGAUGAUGACGGUACCCGCGGAAUAAGCCCCGGCUAGCUCUGUGCCAGCAGCCGCGGUAAUACAGAGGGUGCUAGCGUUAAUCGGAUUUACUGGGCGUAAAGCGUGCGUAGGUGGUUUGAUAAGUCGAUUGUGAAAGCCCCGGGCUUAACCUGGGAAUUGCGGUCGAUACUGUCAGACUCGAAAACGGUAGAGGGAGGUGGAACUCCAGGUGUAGCGGUGAAAUGCGUAGAUAUCUGGAAGAACACCGAUGGCGAAGGCAGCCUCCUGGGCCUGUUUUGACACUGAGGCACGAAAGCGUGGGUAGCAAACAGGAUUAGAUACCCUGGUAGUCCACGCCGUAAACGAUGAAUGCCAGCCGUUGGAGGGUUUACUCUCCAGUGGCGCAGCUAACGCUUUAAGCAUUCCGCCUGGGGAGUACGGUCGCAAGAUUA